AGUCCCGAAGUGAUGGACCAACGAGUAAGAGGCAAGAUAACUGAAAGCCUCUGUCCCCACUGUCUUCUGAGAGCUGUGGUUUGACCAGGCAGCCCCCUAUGCCUCUUCCAGACCCAGGCUUCUCUCUGCUUCUGCAGUUUCUCCAGGACUCUUCAUGUUCUCCCUCAUUGACAAAGGGCAGUGGAUUUCUGGAAAUCUAUUUUCAGUAGACUUCAGUAACUCAAUUUUACCUAUCCACACUGUGUGGUAUAGUAUCAUCAUGUAAAAAUCAGAAGCAUCAAAAAUCAGACAAACCUGGACUCACUCCUCAAUUCUUUUACCAGAGUUGCAGGUGAGUGUGGUGGAACAGUAGUGAGGAGGAGUUGUUGGGAAGAGAGGAAGGUGAAUGAAAAAGUGAUUAUUUUAUAAAAUUUCAGAGCUAAAAAAAUAAGAAGACAGCCUACGUCAUUAUGAUUUGCAAGUUAUUCUAGACAUCAUGAAAGCAAGACAUAUUGCUUCCAGCUUUCUUGUCUUAGUAGAUCAACACCCCUUCAAAAGCAUACAUUCAUCAGAAGAAGAACACUUAGACUGAUGCAGCUCAGAAUUAUUCCAUAAGUUCAAGAACCAAGGAAGAAGCAAUAAAAUAGAAUCAAAGGUGUUUGGCUGUAGACAAAAUGGAUUAUUGAAAAAAAAGAAAAAAGAAGAAAAAGAAAAUAAAAGAAAGAAAAAAGAAAAGAAAAGGAUAAGGGAGCCCAGCAGCCCUCACACGUACUUGCUCUCGGACAAGCUUUGUCAAAUGCUCCACUUUAGAAGGGAAUGCUAGUUAGCAUUCCUGGGAGAAGUGAGUCUCUAUGGCUUGCCCUUUUGAAACUGGUUUCCAAACAAAAUGCAUACUCAUGAAUAUUUAUUGAUCAUAAAAGUUUGGCAGAUUAGAGCAGAAGAAGGGUAGCAUGAGGAGUACCAACUCUUAAACCUGAGGACUCAUGUCUGCACUACACCUUAUACAACAGUGUCUGUGAAAUGGUUAAAGAGUAAAAACCCAAUCUGUUGCAGCCAGAAAGGAGUACUCCGCCUAUUACACAGCAAGGCCAAUAGAUUGCUUGUUAUUUUAAGUGUUAUUUAAAUUAUCUCCCUAGGGAAGAUAAUUUUCAGCUGCCUCUCCAUCUUCUUAAAGAAGAGCAGAAUUUAACACAUCUCGUUGCCAAUGCAUUGUGAAAAACAAAGACACUGAAGCAAUGGUCAGAAAGAAAAGGAAUAAAGACAAAGUCAAGGAAAGAGCUAUACAAGCACAGUUAGCAUAAGAUAGUUGUUCUCAAUGUAGGCUAUCCAGAACAGCACUGUCAACCUCACCGCGGAACUUGAAAGAAGUGCAAAUCCUUGAGACUGACUCCAAGUCUACUGAAUCAGAAAUUCUGGGGGUGGAGUCCAUCAAUCUUUAGUUGAACAAAACACAACCAAUCCCACAUUUAUGGAAGUUUCAUAUAUGAAGUCAUAAAAGUCACUAGAAAGGCACCUACAAUGACAAAUUGUAAAUAGCCACGUCCAAUAAGUUUAUGUGUAACCUUACCUGACUUUUCCAUGGAACUCCAUUGUAUAACUGGAAGCAUUUCUCCAUAAGCGGAAAAAAAAUGGAACCAGAAGAGAAACAAAGCACAUUUGAGCAUACAAUAAAUAAUGAUAUGAAAUGAACAAGUUGAUCUGGUCUCGAGGGAGGAGGAGGCACAGGAACACAGUAAAGGAACCUAUCUGAGGAGCUGCAGACAUGAACCAACAAAGCCAGAAGAGCCUGAAGCAAUACUGCAAGUGGGUGCUUUGGUACUGCUUUGAAGCAUCUUUCCAGACUCUGCAGUAGCCAAGGCCUGUGACUCCAGUCCCUGAGAAAGUACCAUCAGGAGCAAUACGAGUCCUGUCCAUCUCUGAAAACAUGCUGCUGAUGUUGGAUUAAUAGUUAGACAAACAACUAAGAAGAUCAGAAGUAACAUGCUCCUUGGGUGUUGCAAAAUGACUGGACGCUACCUGUCAUCAAACCAUAGUUUUCUCUCCACUUCAACAUAAAUCAAUAGCCUGCUUUUACCUCAAUGAUCAGUUGCUGCAGGGGAAAAAAGUAAGCUUCAAUUUAGACGCUGUCAAAUAUAUGGCCAACUUGCCACCUCUCUCUUCUCCUUGUUCCUGGAACAUGUUGCUAAUUGCUAUGGUGUUCCUGCCACACUCUGAUGUGAUUAUGGAAUCAGCCUCAGCACAAUGCUAUAGGCAGCCACUAAUAAGGGAUUGGAGUGGGGAGGCUGAUUGAAAUUGUUCCCCAAGACAGUAAGCAUAAUAUGUUCUCAUCUGCUUUGAUAGACUCUAAAUUGUAUACACAGUGUGGAUUUUGUGAUACUCAAUAAAAAGCUUCUAGGAAAGAGUCCU